GACAGAGGUGCCAAGCGUUAGGCGGAAUCACUGGGCUUAAAGCGUGUGUAGGCGGAUCGUUAAGUACCUUGUGAAAUCCCACGGCUCAACCCUGGAAGUGCAUUGGAUACUGGCGGACUUGAGUGUGGUAGAGGCAAUCGGAAUUCCAGGUGUAGCGGUGAAAUGCGUAGAUAUCUGGAAGAACACCGGUGGCGCAAGCGGAUUGCUGGGCCAUAACUGACACUGAGGAACGAAAGCUAGGGGAGCGAAUGGG
rnacentral:rRNA from 1 species